UCUGAUUACGAAUGAGUAGGAAGC
rnacentral:siRNA from 1 species